UACAUGUACAGGAUAGGUGGGAGGCUUUGAAACCAGGACGACAGUUUUGGCGGAGCCAUCCUUGGGAUACCACCCUUGUAGUACUGGGACUCUAACCAUAGGCCAUGAAUCUGGUCUUGGGACACUGGCAGGUGGGCAGUUUGACUGGGGCGGUCGCCUCCCAAAAGGUAACGGAGGCGCUAAAAGGUUCUCUCAGUACGGUCGGAAAUCGUACGUAGAGUGUAAAGGCAAAAGAGAGCUUGAUUGCAAGACAUACAGGUCGAGCAAGGAUGAAAAUCGGACUUAGUGAUCCGGUGGUUCUGCGUGGAAGGGCCAUCG
rnacentral:rRNA from 1 species